AUCACCAGGUUAUCCACCAAGAGGAAGGUCAAGGUCACCUGGCUAUCCUCCAAGAGGCAGAUCUCCAGGUUAUCCCCCAAGAGGUCGCUCACGAUCACCACACAGAGGGCCUUCACCGAGAGGAAUCACUCCUGGAUACCCACGUGGUAGAUCACCAGAUGGUGGAUAUGACCCAAGAGUAAUAUCAUAUCAAAGAUCAGGUUCACCAGGAUAUCCCCCUAGAGGAAGAUCACCUAACAGAGGAUAUGCCCGAAGAGGAAGGUCACCUGACAUAGGAUAUCCACCAAGAGGAAGGUCACCUGAAAGGGGAUAUCCACCCAGAAGAAGGUCACCAGACCCUAGACCAAGAGGAUACCCCCCUAGAGAUUUUUCACCUGGCUAUCGAGAUAGAAUGGAAACGCCUGAAGGAGGGUAUGAUUUAGAAAUUAGGUCACGAUCACCAGGUUAUCCACCAAGGGAACGCCCUAUUGAAAGAGGUGGGUCACUAUCCCAUUCUAGAACAAGGUCAAGAUCACCCCCUAGGCCUCCCUUUGAAGACUCCAGACGCCCACGUUAUGACAGUCCAAAAGAAGACCAUACAAAUAGGCAAAGGUCUCGAUCUCCCCACAGGCGCUCAUAUCGCUCUUCAAGUUCAUCAAGUGAUAGUUCAGAUAGUAGUACAACUUUAAUGGAUGGCGAUCACUUUUUGAAACUUGACAAAUCAAAGAAGCUGUCUAAGGCAGAACAGAAAAAUUUAGAGAAUUUGAAACGAGCAAUUGCCAAAAGAAGCCAGGAAGAGAUGGAGCCUCCAAAGAAAUUAAAACCUCCGAAACCAGUUGCUUUUAAAUUAAACACUAAACUCGCUGACAAAAAACAAUUGAUUAAUAAAAACAAGAAAGAUGACGUUCUGCAUAAACUUGAUAUGGGUGAUUCAGAUAGUGAUGAUGAUGUAUUGGCACCACCCUCUGUGAAUCCUCAGAACAUUCGACAACUUUCUUCUUCACAGGCAGAUACAUCUAUUCCUAAAUCAAGCCAGGCUCCCCUGACAAGUCAACCUAAUCCCCAAUCAAGUCAUACCAAGGUUGAACCCCCAGCCCCAAAGGUGACCACUGAUGAUUGGCAGUUGGAUCCCAUUCCUGGUCUUGGCGAUGAAAAAUCAAAGCUUUCAAAGUUUGAUUUAAUGGAUACAGAUGCCCUACUAGAAAGAGCGAAGGUAGCCCAACAGCUUGCUAUGAUUCAGAAGAUGAAAGAUAAUGAACUUAAACCUAACCCAGACCCAGCUAAGGCCAUGACUGGAUUUUUAUCAGGACUGUCUAAUUCCUCUAUUGCCAACGAGACAGAUGCUGCAAUUGCAAUGGAUGUAUCCAAACAACUAUCGGACGCACUUUUGAAAUACAGACUAGAGAAUGUAACAGAACUUCAUGCUGGCCUAACAAGUGGCCUCCCAACAAAUCAGCCUAUCUACCAGACCCCUUUUGCAAAUGAGUCUAGACCGGCCACCUCAAUCCCUGCCUCUAUAUCAGUUCCAGACGAUAUUUUAUCCAAGGCUAAGCUAGCAGUUGCUAAUAUAUUUGGAAGUAAUCCCCUAAGUCUCCCGCCACAACCAGGACCAGCUGGAUAUGAGAUUGAUGGAGGGCCACAUGGUGAUGUUGAUAUCAGAAAGCCUGACACAGAUAUCAGACCAUAUGAUCCAUUCUUAGAUAAUUCUCAGUCAUCAGGCAACUACGGUGGUACAGAGAUACGUAUGGUUACAAGUUCAGCAAAUGAUAGAUAUGGUGCCCCAUGUAGUAAUUAUAAUGCUCCAGUGAACUAUAGUUCCUCUCUGCCAAGUGGCAAUUAUACGCAACAGCGCCAGGCACCUUACAAUCGUAUAGUUGGACAGCAGGUUGGUCAAAGACCAUUGCAGUCAUCGGGUGUGUUUGUGACUCCAGGUCCAGCACCUACCAGUGCAUAUACGGAGCAAAGUCCUCAGUUGCCCCCAUCCAACAGAAAUCGAGAGAAUGCAAUGACUGAUAACUCUGGAUCAUCACAUAGAUCUCCCCAAGCGAAUCUGGCUACUGAUGAUGAUACACUAGGCAUGGCGCCUGACCAAUACCAGGAGGCAUUAGACCAGUUGAAGGAGACGCUGGCUGCUCAGGGUCAAACUGGAUUUAGUCAAGAGGAUUUGAAAGGAGCCCUUAAGGCAGCAAUGCAUCUAAAAAAUAGUGAAGCUUCAGAAUCUAAUGAAAAAUCAGGAGGUCGACAAAGUCAAUCAGUAAAUCAAAUGAGAGAUGGUAAAAUGAAUACUCCAAUACAGCCACCUCAGAAGAACACUAAAAAAGAGACAGUUAUUGCCCGAAACCCUAGCCCUCCUCCAUAUGGCAUUAACAAUCCUAGUUUUGCUGCACCACGACCACAAAGGCCAGUGUUGAUGCCAGUACAACAACAACCUGUGCAGUUAGUUCCAGUUGUUCAACAAUUUGCACCUACUAAUCCUAUGAUGCAAAUCAGACCUCUUAUCCCCCAUAUCCCCCAGCCCAGACCUCUGGGAUAUAAUCCCAUGAUGAGAGGGCCAUAUCCAAGAUGAACAAUGUUAACUUGAUGUACUUGUUCAAUAGGACCUAGGCGACAUAUAAAUAGUUACCCAAGAUGCUUACAUCACAUUUCUGUUUUUCACUUCCGUUAGAAUUGCACUGUAUUUCUGUAUUGUUCAUUACCAAGUGAACUUACUUUUAAUCCGUUUAAUACCAGAUCAUUUAACAUCGUUGUCCAUGACCGUGAUAGGAGAUAUAAAAGAUCUGAGAAGUCAUUGUAUUUAUUACGAGAUAUUGAAACAUGGUUAAAUAAAGUUCAUGGACAAUCCCAAACAUAUUUUGAAUUAAAGGCCCCGUAUAAAGUUUUAAAUAUAGUUUAAUCUUUCAAAUAUCACUUUUCAUAACAUGAAAAACCAUUGGAGACGUUUUUUUGAAACAUGAGUUUUGAAAAAAGUUAUUCAUCUUAUGAUUUUCAAUUAUAUUAGAAUUUGGUAUUUAGGAAACGUAAAGUUUAGAUUUUAAGCUGACACAACACUAAAUAUUGUAAAACUGGGUAGGACUACAAUAUAUGCCAAAGUGGUUUAAACUUUAUAUAGGGCCU
rnacentral:misc_RNA from 1 species